GUACCCGCUGAACUUAAGCAUAUCAGUAAGCGGAGGAAAAGAAACCAACAGGGAUUGCCCCAGUAACUGCGAGUGAAGCGGCAACAGCUCAAAUUUGAAAUCCGGCCCCCCCCGCCGGGGGCCCGAGUUGUAAUUUGAAGAGGAUGCUUCGGGCGCGGCGCCUUCCGAGUCCCCUGGAACGGGGCGCCACAGAGGGUGAGAGCCCCGUCUGGUCGGACGCCAAGCCCGCGUGAAGCUCCCUCGACGAGUCGAGUAGCUUGGGAAUGCUGCUCUAAGCGGGAGGUAAAUGCCUUCUAAAGCUAAAUACCUGCCAGAGACCGAUAGCGCACAAGUAGGGUGACCGAAAGCUGAAAAGAACCUUGAAAAGAGGGUUAAAGAGCACGUGAAAUUGUUGAAAGGGAAGCGCCUGCGAGCCAGAACGCGGGCGCGGCGGAUCACCCGGCGCUCCGCGCCGGCGCACUCCGCCGCGCCCGGGCCAGCGCCGGCCCCGGCGGGGGGACAGAGGCCCGGGGAACGUAGCUGCCCCGCGCAGUGUUACAGCCCCGGGCGGACUGCCCCCGCUGGGGCCGAGGGAACCCGCGCCCGCGAGGGCAAGGGCGCUGGCGUAAUGGGCGCAGGCGACCCGUCUUGAAACACGGACCAAGGAGUCGAGGUCUGGCGCGAGUGUACGGGCGCAAAAAACCCUGACGCGGAAUGAAAGUGAACGCAGGUGGGAGCCCCCCGUGGGCGCACCACCGACCGAUCCCGACGUGCUCGGAAGGAUUUGAGUAGGAGCGCCAGGCCUCGGACCCGAAAGAUGGUGAACUAUGCUUGGAUAGGGUGAAGCCAGAGGAAACUCUGGUGGAGGCUCGCAGCGGUUCUGACGUGCAAAUCGAUCGUCAAAUCUGAGCAUGGGGGCGAAAGACCAAUCGAACCAUCUAGUAGCUGGUUACCGCCGAAGUUUCCCUCAGGAUAGCGGUGUUGGGCCCUCGGUUUUAUGGGGUAAAGCGAAUGAUUAGGGACCCGGGGGCGGCUUCUUGCCUUCAUCCAUUCUCAAACUUUGAAUACGUAAGAAGCUCCCGUUUCUUGACUGAACGGGGGCCGUCGAACGUUCCAACACUAGUGGGCCAUUUUUGGUAAGCAGAACUGGCG
rnacentral:rRNA from 1 species